rnacentral:rRNA from 1 species
UGCGUAGGCGGGAGCCUAAGUCUGUGGUGAAAUCUUGCCGCUUAACGGUAAAAUUGCCAUGGAUACUGGGUUUCUUGAAUGUAGAAGAGGUCGGUGGAAUUCGUAGUGUAGCGGUGAAAUGCAUAGAUAUUACGAAGAACACCAGUGGCGAAGGCGGCCGACUGGGCUACAACUGACGCUGAGGCACGAAAGCGUGGGGAGCGAACA